GAUGAACGCUAGCUACAGGCUUAACACAUGCAAGUCGAGGGGAAACGGCAUCGAAAGCUUGCUUUUGAUGGGCGUCGACCGGCGCACGGGUGAGUAACGCGUAUCCAACCUGCCCAUCACUUGGGAAUAACCUUGCGAAAGUAAGACUAAUGCCCAAUGACAUCCCACGAAGGCAUCCGAAUGGGAUUAAAGAUUUAUCGGUGAUGGAUGGGGAUGCGUCUGAUUAGCUUGUUGGCGGGGUGACGGCCCACCAAGGCAACGAUCAGUAGGGGUUCUGAGAGGAAGGUCCCCCACAUUGGAACUGAGCCACGGUCCAAACGCCUACGGGAAGCAGCAGUGUGAAAUAUUGGUCAAUGGGCGAGAGCCUGAACCAGCCAAGUAGCGUGCAGGAUGACGGCCCUAGGGGUUGUAAACUGCUUUUAGAAGGGAAUAAAGUGGGUCACGUGUGACUUUUUGCAUGUACCUUAUGAAUAAGGACCGGCUAAUUCCGUG
rnacentral:rRNA from 1 species